rnacentral:rRNA from 1 species
UACGAAGGGGGCUAGCGUUGCUCGGAAUUACUGGGCGUAAAGCGCACGUAGGCGGUUUCUUAAGUCGGGGGUGAAAUCCUGGAGCUCAACUCCAGAACUGCCUUCGAUACUGGGAGACUUGAGUUCGGGAGAGGUGAGUGGAACUGCGAGUGUAGAGGUGAAAUUCGUAGAUAUUCGCAAGAACACCAGUGGCGAAGGCGGCAUCCUGGACCGGCAUUGACGCUGAGGAGCGAAAGCUAGGGGAGCAAACGGG